AUUUGUUCUGUUUGCCUCUGAGAUUUUCUCAUUUACAGGAUUUAAAGCAGCAGUGCAAACAGCGUUAAUUUCUCUAGCAAAGUUGGAGAUGAGGGUCCAGCAUAUGGGUAAUCCUCAUUUAGCAACUGUUUGCAGUUACAGCACUGAUGAAGGUCUGUACAGGAGGUCUGUAAAGCAAAGGAAAGCUGAACUAAGAUCAUAAGUACAGUUGUGGUUUCAUGUAGCAACUGCUUCGCUUAACAACCAAAUUGCCAGUCCCAAUUGUGGUCACUAAAUGAGAAUUACCUGUAUUUGCUAGAUGGGGAAGCAGCUAGACUAGGCUAUUGUAAUAACACUCUGGCCUUUCUAAAUUAGAGCAGUUAAAAUAAAAGAUGUCUUGUUUUUAAAAACCUCGUUUAUAUCUGUUUGCCUUGCCUUUUCAGGUGCAAAAACUGGGUGACUUGAGUGUGGAUGAGUUUUUAACCUCUGGAUUUGAUUCCGAUGAGGAUUCGGUGGAAGAUGCUCCAAAUUCUGGGGAAGAUGAGAAUAGAAAGCUGCCUUCAAAGGCUGACAGCAAAAAAAAACCCCAGGGUGAAAUUUGAGACCAGCGAAAAGGAAAAUAAAUAAAGGCCCUGCUUCGCAGCAUAAAGACCAGCUCUCUCGACUAUAGGAACGAGAUCCAGAAUUUUACAAGUUCCUGGAAGAAAAUGACAAGACGCUGCUUAAUUUUGAUGACUCCCAACAGUCAUGAGGAAGAGGAAGGCCUUCGCGUGUUGCCUGAAAAAUUAGAGCCAUGAAGAAGAAGCGAAAGGCAAGAAGGGGGCUGAAGACCGUGCUCCCGUGAGCAGCAGCGAGGAAGAGGAAGGGGAGUACGAAGUCGACAGCGAGGAGGAGGAGGAGGAAGAGAACUCGAGCGAUUCAGAUGGGGGCGAAAGGGCCGUGCCUGGAGGCCGGGGCCGAAAACCGCCGUCUCGGGCAGAGCUACAACAGCUGGCACGAGGAGGAGGGGACGCGGUGGAAGACUUGGCCUUCUCCGACGGGGACUGAUGGACGGGCCGGGGGGAUGAUCGGACAGCUGUUCCCCGUGGGGGUGCCGAGGAGGGGGCUGCAUUGUUCAAGCUGGCCCUGGAGCGGCGUUUAUGCGCUUGGGGAGACACGCCAUAAAAUUUGGGAUCGGGCAGGGGAGCAGUAAAAAGACUGCUGUAGCUGUAAGAGCUGCUGCUUUUGAAUUUGUGGGUUUUUUUUAAACAAUCUCAGAACAAAACCCAGCCAGCAGUGCUCCCUCUUCCCCUCCUGGACUACAGCCCCACCCCUGGCACUGAAGAUUCAGAGAUGAAGACAAUUUCCCACUGCGGUUACUGCAUAAACACUUUAUUUUUUUUGAAGGACUUCUCUGUUUUCUUGCAAGCCCCUCAGAUGAAAAAUAGUUCGUAUUUUUUUGGAGCCCGCAGCAAGAAAAGUUGGGCUGCAUCUCAUGCUUGGUUUGAAUUUCCCCAAUGCUUGCAGUUGCCCAUUUUCAUUUCUGUACGCGCGGAAGACUUGUUUGAAGGGGAUGGGGAAACUUGUGCAGGUUUGUUCUGUCUCGCUGGCGGAAAUGGCUUGUAAAAACAGCCUGCCGUGUGGAUUUAUUUCUCACGCGUGGAUCUCGGAGCGCUGAAACCGCAGCGGGCAAAACGGCCGGAUCCCGAGGGAGCACCGUUGUCCCCUGCGGCUUUCACCGUGUUGUGGUCCACGGAUGCGUCUCUUGGCACUACGCCGGGCCCACCAGGAACCGAGACCCGUCGGCUUGUGGUUUGAGGUCGCCCAGCAGAUCAGAGCUGGCUGUUGAGGAGCCUGCAAACCUUACAGUUUUGGUCUUGAUUUAGUCCCAAACGUGUCAGGCUGAGUUUCUGCAGUUUGCGAGUCAGGUGGAGGGGGGCAUUGCAGAUCCCCGAGAGGUCCUUAGGUCUUAAGCCUGGCUAGGACAGCCACGUUUUGUGGCUUGUGGGAACGGGGCUGAAACCCAGAGAGCCCUUGGUGGAAGCCUUUGGGUCCCGUGAAUCCCAAAUGGCGGCUUCCCUAGCUUUAAGCUGUGGGGAGUGGUGGGCCCCUGUGCCCUGGGCGAAGACCGUUUAUCUUGUCUGGAGGCUUCGGGUGGCCCAAGUGGAAGCUUCAGGUGCUGGGACAGAGUUGAGGUGUCAGAAGAGCCUAGAGCGGCGUUCCCAACCGUGGUGACUUGGAAGACGUGCGGACAGCUCAACUCCCGUGCUGGCUGGGGGAUUCUGGGAGUUGAGCUGUCCGCACGUCUUCAUGUUGCCAUAGUUGAGGAACACUGACCUGGAGGGUCACAAAUGCCCACCAACCCCAGGUAGGUGCCAAACGUGGGUGGAUGUGAACUCUGCUUUCAUUAAGCCAAGUGGCUUUUAGAUGGGCAGACUUCAAUGCUCAGAAUUUUCCAACUUAAUCUCUCUUGAAAAUUCUGGGAAUUGAAGUUCUCCCAUGUGGAAGGCACUAGGUGGCUGCCACUCAAUUCCCAGAAAUCUGCAGCACAUUUCAGAAUUCUGGGAACUGCAGUCCUCCUCCAGAGGGAUGGAUUUCAGUUCCCAGAAUUCUGAGCUGGAGAAUUAUGGGAAUUGAGCCCC